rnacentral:rRNA from 1 species
AUGGCCAGCGGUACUGGUAUUGGUACUGGCAAUGGCAAUGGCGGAUCUGUCCUGGGGGUGGUCGCCGCGUGCAUGUGCGCGUGCCUGAUCCUCUCCGUCCCUGCCGCCGACGCGCAGCUCAAGGUCGGGUACUACGACGCGACGUGCCCCGACGCCGAGUCCCUCAUCACCACCAUCGUCCACGCCUCCGUCCGCAUGGACGCCGGCAACGGCCCCGGCCUCGUCCGCCUCUUCUUCCACGACUGCUUCGUCAGGGGCUGCGACGCGUCGGUGCUGCUGGACGACCCGACGGGCAGCCCGGGCAACCGGACGGUGGAGAAGACGGCGGCGCCCAACUUCCCCAGCCUCCGGGGCUUCGGCGUCAUCGACCGCGCCAAGCGCGUCGUGGAGCGCCGCUGCCCGGGCGUCGUCUCCUGCGCCGACAUCGUCGCCUUCGCCGCCCGCGACGCCUCCCGCAUCAUGGGCGGCAUAAUCUUCGCCAUGCCCUCCGGCCGCCUCGACGGCCGCGUCUCCAACGCCACCGAGGCGCUCGCCAACCUGCCCCCCGCCAACUUCAACCUCACCCAGCUCAUCACCCGCUUCGCGUCCAAGAACCUCACCGCCGACGAGAUGGUCACGCUCUCCGGCGCCCACUCCAUCGGCCGCUCCCACUGCUCCUCCUUCUCCAGCCACCUCUACCCGCAGAUCGACCCCACGCUCAACAACACGCUCGCCAAGGCCCUCCGCGCCGGCAAGUGCCCGGCGGCGACGGGGCGGCUCGACCGCGUCGUGCAGCUGGACGCCAAGACGCCGCUCCAGCUCGACAACCAGUACUACAAGAACAUCGGCACCAACGAGGUGCUCUUCAACUCCGACCAGGCGCUGCUCGACCGGAGCGACACGGCGGCGCUCGUCGGCCAGUACGCCGCCAACCGGAAGCUGUGGUCGCAGAAGUUCGCGGACGCCAUGGUGAAGAUGGGCUACGCCGACGUGCUCACCGGGCCGCCCGGGGAGAUCAGGAAGGUCUGCAGCAGAGUGAACUAG